AUUUCGGCGUACUACGCCGGAUUUUCUGAUUUUCCGAAGAAAAGUGAAAGAAAAUUUGUUAUAAUUUUUCGAAGAAAAGCGUAUUAUUUGUUUUUGAUACGCUUUUCCUUCAAUUGUCAAGUACUUAGAACAGAAGGCAAAUACCGUCAAUAACGAAGACCUGAAGUGAUAACCGCGGAGCUCAAAAUAAAAACAAAUACAUGAUUGCUCUCUUAAUGUAUGCUGUACAAGUGCUCAAGAUAAAAGAGCAUUUCUCAUAAAUUGCCGGAAAACUGUUCUCGAAACUUAAAGGAAGAGAAGAAUUGGC